rnacentral:lncRNA from 1 species
GGACGCAGCGCGCACAGGGACGCAGCGCGCACGCAACCGCGUUUCCGGCGCUACCUGGCUGCUGUGCCCCGCAGCUUGUGGCGCUUGUGGACCGCGUGGGCCUGCGGGAGAUCGGUGCGGCUCCUUGGGGAAUUCUUGUUCUCUUUUCUGGACUGAGAAGAGAAGAAUGGAGAAGAGCCCCUUCCCAUUGUGAGUGGACAGUAAAUGGGUAUGGAGUAGCCAGAAGCUUCUGGAAACCAGAGUUCCUUUCCUCAGCUGAAAAGAACCCUAAGAGUAGACUGCCUGGGAUUGCGUGGGGGAUGGGAGGAUCACUGGACCUGUGGGCCAGAGACUUGGGUUUGAGUCCCAGCUCUGGCUUUGCUGAGGUGUGUGACUCUCAGAAAGUCAUCCAACCUCUGUGGGCCUUAUUGUCAGUGAUAGAACCUGUGGGGAAUGAUUACCUUUGAGUCCCAUCCUAUGACAAUAUGGUUUGUUUUUAAAGCCAGGUUAGCACUGACUUCUCUCUCGUGUUUUCAGAGUGCCUUUGCAUUGGUUUGGCUUUGGCUACACAGCACUGGUUGUUUCUGGUGGGAUCGUUGGCUAUGUAAAAACAGGUAUGGUUUUGUUGUUACUUAGCC